UACGUAGGUGGCAAGCGUUGUCCGGAUUUAUUGGGUUUAAAGGGUGCGUAGGCGGCCCUGUAAGUCAGUGCUGAAAUAUCCCGGCUUAACCGGGAGGGUGGCAUUGAUGCUGCGGGGCUAGAGUACAGAUGAGGUAGGCGGAAUUGACGGUGUAGCGGUGAAAUGCUUAGAUAUCGUCAAGAACACCUAUAGCGAAGGCAGCUUACUAGGCUGUAACUGACGCUGAGGCACGAAAGUGUGGGGAUCAAACAGG
rnacentral:rRNA from 1 species